UGGGGAAUAUUGGACAAUGGGCGAAAGCCUGAUCCAGCCAUGCCGCGUGUGUGAAGAAGGUCUUCGGAUUGUAAAGCACUUUAAGUUGGGAGGAAGGGCAGUAAGCGAAUACCUUGCUGUUUUGACGUUACCGACAGAAUAAGCACCGGCUAACUCUGUGCCAGCAGCCGCGGUAAUACAGAGGGUGCAAGCGUUAAUCGGAAUUACUGGGCGUAAAGCGCGCGUAGGUGGUUCGUUAAGUUGAAUGUGAAAGCCCCGGGCUCAACCUGGGAACUGCAUCCAAAACUGGCGAGCUAGAGUAGGGCAGAGGGUGGUGGAAUUUCCUGUGUAGAGGUGAAAUGCGUAGAUAUAGGAAGGAACACCAGUGGCGAAGGCGACCACCUGGGCGCAUACUGACACUGAGGUGCGAAAGCGUGGGGAGCAAACAGG
rnacentral:rRNA from 1 species